CUCUUCAAUUAAUCUUCUUCUCUCGUUCUCGCCUGCCCUCACCAUCUCCUUCACGCAUAGGUUGUCCUCCAUUGAAGCGCAUUCCCUGGGCUUUCUCACCUCCAUUGCCGCGCAACUCCUCUCUUUCUCUCCAUAUAUAGCUAUCUCCUCCAUUGAAGCGCAUACUAUCGAGCUUUGUGACCUCCAUUGAAGCGCAUUCCGAGCUUUCCAACUCCAUUGUAGCAGCUUCGAGGUAAGAAAUAUUUCGUGGUCUUCCUAGUCUAUUGAAUACCUUUGCAAUCUAGGGUUAGUCGUUGAUUUAGGGUUUUCUGUUCUUUGUGGUUUGGUUUUGUGACCUUAAUUUCGAGUUGUGCAUUCAACAAUAGUUCAUUGUUUUAGGGUUUUCUGUUCUUUACGGUUUGCUUUGAGAUUUUGGGUGGAUUCUCCUAUGCUUAAAAUGUGAACAUGGAUCGAAUGACUUUCUUCAAUACAAUCUUUGAUGUUGUGUGUGGUCUUUUGUCUUUAUCCACCAGUAUUAUGUUUGCAAAUCAUGUAGCUUCCAUUAAUUGUUAUGUCUACUGCUCCUUGUUCACUGUCUUUUUGUUCUGUGUUAAGUUGUGUGUUAAAUUUAUUAUUUCUGCCUUCAUGGAAUUCUGUUGUAAAAUAGUUCAAACCCUCUGUUACUGUUAGUUAUACUUCCUCUUUCAGGGAAUAUAAUCAUAAAAAAUAAAAAUUGGUACUAUUAUAAAAUUGGCAUGAUGAAGGCGAUAUGCUAUACUUCCUCUUUCAGGGAAUAUAUUUUGUUGAUCAUUGAAUAGGUUUGCCUAUUUGGUAUGCUUGAUCAUUUGAGUUGAUUGAUUACCAAUUUUUUCGAAUUCGGUUUUUUGUUUGGUUUAAUUCUUGUUGAGCAUGCAGUUGCUUAUUGGCUGUUGACUAAUCGGUGAUCAAGUUAGCUGAAUAUAAAGGUUUUGCGCUAUUCAAAUUUUUCGAAUUAGGGUAUUUUUUGGUUUGAUUCUUGAGCAUGCAGUUUUUUGUUAGCUGUUGAAUAUUUGGUGAUCAAGUUGGCUGAAUAAAAAGGUUUCGGUUAAUUGAGGUUUGAUCUAUUGGCUCAUUGAUUAUAAAAUUCUUCAAACUUAGGGUUUUUGGUUUGAUUUUUGAUUAUUAGAAAGGCUUGCAGGAUUGGUGUUUGAUCUCUAGAGCUGUUAUGAUUUAACGUUUUGUCUGUUGCUGCAUUGUCCUUUAUUACAUAAAAAUGUGGCAGAGUUUUGGGCAGCUAAUUUUGCAGUUUUUUCAAGCUUGUGAAUAUUACCAGUUAUCACCAAAAAUUAUCCACAAACCUAUCUUAACCAAAAAAAAUUUGGGUAAACAUAUAAAUUCUAUAUAACUAAUCUGAUAUUGUAGUUUGUUUGACUUGGUAUUAAUUAAUUUCUGAUUAGUGAUUAAUUUUACGAAUAUUAUUAUUGUUAAUGGUGCUUUUUAGUGACUAAUAUGGCUAACUACCCGUACACCGGGACUCGCAAAGAAAAAUUGCCUUGCGGUGAGGAGAUGGGUAUAUGAUUGAAGUUUGAGGUUUGAAGUUAUCAUAAUCAGUUGAUUUAUUGGUGGAAUUUCCUUUGCCUUGACUUGCUUCUUUGCUGUUAAGUUAUUGGUGAUCAAGUGGGUUCUUUGCUAAAAGGUUUGCUUAUUACUGGAUAUUUCUUUUUAUUUGGUCAUGUGGCUAUUUCUUGACAGUUGAAUUAUUGAUCAUCAAGUUGGUGUUGUGUCAAUUGUUUCUUCUAUGAAGCAUUUGGUCUAGGUGGUGUAGUGCUCUGCAGAUAUGGAUUGAAUGUCCAACAACUAUAUACAAGGUCCUUGGUGGCUUCUCUUUGCUUCCAUGCUUACCAGCAGCUCUGGAGCCCGCAGUGAUCGGAACAAAGAAUGUGAUUACAGCAGCAGCAGAUGCAAAGCAAUUAACAAAGGUGGAAGACAGAAGCCAUAGAGAAAUGUGAUGUGAUGGUACAUACAAAAAUCUUCCUCAAGUUUCCAUCUAAGUUUUGGCCUUUUGGGGUGGAGAAAGAGUUCUUCAUCUAUGCACAUGACAGGAGAGGCUACUACACAUCAGUGCAGGAGAACAGAAACAGUCGCAUAGCAAACAAAAGAGCAGCCUGUCAGCCUGAACACACAACACAACAGCCAGCAGAGCAGCCACCAGCACAAGACCAGGAUAGUUCUUGCUGGAACUCAGACAAUAUGCUGUUUUUGAAGAAAAUAUAUAUGUUAGUGUUUAUAUGUCCAUUUUUUUUUUUUAGUUUUUUUAAAGUGUAAUAUUACAAGUUAU